UACGUAGGGUGCGAGCGUUAAUCGGAAUUACUGGGCGUAAAGCGUGCGCAGGCGGUUUUGUAAGUCAGAUGUGAAAUCCCCGGGCUCAACCUGGGAACUGCGUUUGAAACUACAAGGCUAGAGUGUAGCAGAGGGGGGUAGAAUUCCACGUGUAGCAGUGAAAUGCGUAGAGAUGUGGAGGAAUACCGAUGGCGAAGGCAGCCCCCUGGGAUAACACUGACGCUCAUGCACGAAAGCGUGGGGAGCAAACAGG
rnacentral:rRNA from 1 species